rnacentral:lncRNA from 1 species
AUUUAUUUCUUUUAGAAAUAAACUUAGCUAGAAAUGUGAAUUAAUUAGGAUUCAAACUUCGGACCUUGAGUACCAGCCUCCAAGCCCUUUGCCACUUGCGCUAAGAACGGUCGGUGCACGUUGGCAUAUUGAUAUAUUAUAUACAAAUUGCAUGAUUACCAUCCAUUAUAGGGAUGUCAUCAGGUCGGAUUUUGGGGCGAUUUUUAAAAACAUAAGCCCGAAUCUGACUACAAAUCCAAAACUCGAAUACGAUUCUGAAUCCCACAGGUUCUAGAAGUCCAUAUCCCUACCCGAACCCAGCAAAAAAAAACCAACACCCGAAUCCAAAUUCGAAUCAAUUAUGAUCUCUCUUUAUCAUAUCUCAAAAUAUAUUACAUUAAAUCUUAAUUUUUAAAAUAAAAAUUCAAAUAUAAUAUCAAAAAGUUAUAUAUACAUACAUACAUACAUACAUAAUACAUACAUAAUAUAAAAUCAAUUUGGGUCUGGAUCGGGUUCGAAUUCUGGUCGGAUAUAGAUAAACCAUACUCGAAUUCAAAUCCAUGGGAUUUCGUGUUGUAUACCCAUAUUUGAAACUAUAUCCAUUUAGUAUUGAAUAAAUCCACUCCGUUCAGAUUCAUAUUCGAAUAAAAUUCCGGGUAUCUGUAUCCAUUGAUAUGCUAAUCCAUUAUCGCAUUGACC